CAGAUUGCCCCAGAUUAAACAGCUGAUCUAGAUGCGGUCUUAGCUGCCAAGAAAAAAUGUUCAGUUAUGAUAUGCUUUGGGCUCUUUCUAAAAAUAAUUAAUUGCUGUUCCUGGUGUGUAUUUUUUAAAAGAGCAAUGUACUCUUCUAUUUGUUUUCCAACCUGUUUCCUACUUGCUGACCAAAAGGUCGGCCAUUCAAAUCCAGGGAGUGGGGUGAGCUCCCACUGUUAGCUCCAGCUUCUGCCAGCCUAACAGUUCAAUAACAUGCAAAUGUGAGUAGAUCAAUAGGUACCGCUCCGGUGGGAAGGUAAUGGCACGCCAUGCAGUCCUGCCAGCCACAUGACCUUGGAGGUGUCUGCAAACAAUGCCGGCUCUUCAACUUAGAAAUGGAGAUAAGCACCAACCCCCAGAAUUGGACACAACUAGACUUAAUGUCAGGAAAAAUCCUUUACCUUUAACUAAAGGCCUGCUUGACUGCUUGCUUGCUUUUUCCUCUAGAUACUAGAAAUCUGGUUCAUAGCUCACCACAAAAAAGGAUUCAUUUUGUCAAGUCUUGCCAUUUUCUUUUCAAUUAAUAUUUAUACUUUUACUUUUGUUAUCAAUAAAUGCUAGUACAAUUUGCAUCUAUGAGCUUAUUAAUUCUCUUGUCUACAACAACAUUCUUGUUAGCACACUUGGCUAUGUUGUAACAUGCUAGACUUAGUAAAUGAGAAGACAUCAAAAUGUCAUAUCAUUCUACAGACAUACAACAUUCUAAUCAGAAAAGUAAAACAUUGGAAUUUUUGUCUCUUCUUUUGAAGGGCAAUGUCCAAGGCAUUAUGAAAAAAUGAAAUGGUGGCAAACGGUAAGAGUUGCUGUUGUCACAACAAGUGCAGAACUAGAAAUGGAUAGUGGUGACCAACAGAGAUCUACUUUUACAAUGUAUAAAGGUGUAAAGAAUGCCACCAGACUUCUCCCAGACACCAUUCUUGCAACCAAAUAAUAUUUGGCCUUUUCCAAACAGGCAUAGCUGAACUCUUAAAUAAACACCAUCUGAGCCACUGAACGAAAUAUAUUGCUGGAAUAUGUUCAACUCCCAAUUCCAGUUGCACUACAUGACUGAUAACAAGGAUGAAAAUAUUAUUAAAUAUUAAAAUUUGAUGUAAAUUAAUUGGCAUGAGAUUAUGCCGGCAGCAGUGCAAGGCCACAGAACACAAGACAGUUGGGAAGCUCCAGGGAAGGAGAUGAUGCAGGACUGUGAGUUGUAUGUGUGAGAUCUGGAUUCAAACCAUCAUCCCACAAACCCAUGAGGUUUUUAGUGAGGUACUGUUAAAAAUACUGUAUCUUGUUGCUAAACCAGGGGUUCUCAAAUAUUUUCAGUUACAGAAGCAAAGGUUUCUCAUGGAGCCGCAGUAAAUUUUUAUAUAUUAUAUUAUCUAUGAUGUAUCUAUAUCAGGCAUGGGGCAGGCCAGUGGCAGAUGGAUGGAGUGUUUGUGUGUGAACUAAUUUACACAGUUCAAAAAAAGGAAGGAAAAUAAGAAAGAACAAUUUUAACCAGCUUAUCAGUAUUUCAAUGGAAGACCCCCGGGCCAUCCAGUUCACUCACCUUCUGCCAUACUGAAAAACCACAAUC